CAAAUAUGUGGGAUGACUGUAUUGUAGCUCUUUUUACCCCGGUUAAUGGUGUUCUACUUGGCUCAAAGUUCCAUAUCUGCACCCAUAAAAACAAUCAACUCCUUCUCGAAAAGUCCAUCCAGUUUUUCCAAAUCAAACUCCGUCAGCCCUUUAAACACGUGCAGCAGCGCGUCAGUUGACCAGUUUCGCGGGUUUUUUUCGCAUGCUCCUUCAACCGUCAAAACGCCGGGCCCUGCUUGGUGUGUUGGUGGCAGAAACCGGGUUUGGCCGUCGUUCACGCACACACUCUACCGGGAGGAACGCGUGUGUUGGUGCGCAACUGCCAGUCUGCCGGGUGCACAGGGUGACGCAAAAGGGGGUCGAUCGAUUGAUUGUUUGAAAAAUUUUGGACGAAAAUUUGGUUUUAGUUUGAUUUUUUGCUCUGGAUGCUUCGGAAAUUGUUUGUGAAACUGUAGACGUUGGUGUUUGAGAGAGAUUAAUAUGGUUUGUCUGAUUAAAUAACUCAUGUUUCAAGAGAAAACUUUGCUAAACACCAUGAGAUUCUUCAAAAGCCUUCCAUAAACGCCAUUUAUUUCGGCUAAUGCUUUACAAGGACAGACAUGUGAAUCAAUAUCGUUGGUCAGACAUACUUUCCGAAGCUGUUUUCAAAGUUCAACUUGAAAAAUUCUGUUUAAAUCAUGAAAAAUCAUGUCAAAUUCGCCCAAAAUCUUCACCACUUGGAAGGUAAUCAAUUUCUUCGCUGUUGUUUUCCUUACUUCUACCGAGAAAGUUGCUGCCCGGUGGCACCAACAUCAGCAUGCGUUAGCUGCCUGGCACAGGCAAACGCACCAAAGGCAAAAACAACUACCGACAGCGCGACGGGGCGACGUACGUCGGUUACCUGCCGGCAGUACAAAAGCGCCCUGUGAGCAUACGUCAGCAUCAUUCGUUUCUCAGCAAUCGUACAGUGAACACACAGUGUGAGAGCAGCAGCCCUCGUGGUUUGCUUGCUCUCUCUCACUCUCUCAUCCAGCAGUCAGUGGUGAAUCAUGGCUAAAUCUGUGAAAAGUGAAGAUUGAAGCUGUACAGAGCGUUCAAAUUUUUAAUCAAUAGUGCUGAAAAGUGCAUCGGAUGGUGUUGAAUCAAAAGUAUUCAGUGAAUUGGUCCUGAAAGCCCUAAAAAGGUGGCAAAAGUGAUUUUUCAACCGAGACCACGCCAUGGUCAAUGGUGGAUCCAAAAUGGCGGAGCUCUGGGAUUACGCCCCUCAUCCGGUGCAGAAACGAAUGUUCUCGAUUAUGUAAGGAAGAUUCGAAGCAAUACUUCUAACAAUAAUCGAUGUGCUUUUUUGAAGCUGACAAAAUGAUUAGUUAUCUACAUCAAGUCUAACAAAAAAGAUGCCAAGUGUCGGUGGAAACGAUUCUAAACGUCUUACGGAGAGCAAUCUUUGGGAUAAUCGUGUAUCAUCAAGAAAUUGAUCAACGUGGCCGGGACGUUCCGGCAAUUUCCAAGAUGGCGUCGAACGGUAAAAAGUGCUAGGUUAUGUCUUGCCAACCGGCUACCAAGCCGCAUGCGCUUGGUCAUGCUCUAACGUCUCGAGGUGCCUAACCUCAAUUCAUCCGAUACCAUCGCAGUGUGAUUUCUUUCAAAUUCUAUUUCAAUUUUUUUGCGAAAAGAGUCUUUAUCGACACUGCUAGAUCUUGUUAAGUUCUAUUUCUAUUAUUUUGCAAAAGUCUAAGAAAGCAACGCACUCAAAUUUCUCUAUAUAUUUCUAUUUACAAUUCAAUCAGACUUAAAACCAAUCACUAGAGUUUCUCUAUAUAUUUCUAUUUACAAUUCGUUGGGAAGUGUAGAGUUGAUAUGCAAAUAAUAUUGAUCGCCACUGUAGUUUCUCAAUAUUUUCUAUUUCCUAUUCGUUCAGAACUUGAAUCAACCACUGAGAUUUCUCAAUAUUUUCUAUUUCCUAUUCGUUCAGAAACAAAAACCAACCACUGAGAUUUCUCAAUAUUUUCUAUUUCCUAUUCGUAUCAAAUUGAAAUUCAUAUCAUCCAUUGUAAUUUCUCAAUAUUUUCUAUUUCCUAUUCGUAUCAGACAACAUAACCAACCACUGAAGUUUCUCAAUAUUUUCUAUUUCCUAUUCGUAUCAGACAACUAGACCCAACCAAACUGCAAUUUCUUUCAAAUUCUAUUUCAAUUUUAUUGCGUCUUUGUCUCAAACAAAAAAAGUCUUACAAACAACACAAAACUGUUCACUCUUUGACAGUCACACGCAAUUGCGAAAAAAAAGUCUAACAAAAAACCAUGUCCUACAAACUAGUCUAAAAAAAAACAACAACACAAAACUGUUCACUCUUUGACAGUCACACGCAAUUGCGAAAACAAACAAACAAUCGAGAUUCCAUCUUAAAACCUUCUACCAAGAAGUCGUCAUCAUAUGACCAAAGGUCGCAUGAGUGCGUAGAGUAGAGUUUCAAAACCACUAUAAUUUCUUUCAAAUUCUAUUUCAAUUUUUUUGAGAAUUUUUUGACAAACGAAUGUUGUCAUUGCGUGAUAUUAUCACUACGGAAUAUUAUUUUUGAGCUUUUUUGACUAACGAAUGUUGUCAUUGCGUGAUAUUAUCACUACGGAAUAUUAUUUUUGAGCUUCUUUGACUAACGAGUGUUGUCAUUGCGUGAUAUUAUCACUACGGAAUAUUAUUUUUGAGAUUCUUUGACUAACGAAUGUUGUCAUUGCGUGAUAUUAUCACUACGGAAUAUUAUUUUUGAGCUUUUUUGACUAACGAGUGUUGUCAUUGCGUGAUAUUAUCACUACGGAAUAUUAUUUUUGAGAUUCUUUGACUAACGAGUGUUGUCAUUGCGUGAUAUUAUCACUACGGAAUAUUAUUUUUGAGCUUUUUUGACUAACGAGUGUUGUCAUUGCGUGAUAUUAUCACUACGGAAUAUUAUUUUUGAGAUUCUUUGACUAACGAGUGUUGUCAUUGCGUGAUAUUAUCACUACGGAAUAUUAUUUUUGAGAUUCUUUGACUAACGAAUGUUGUCAUUGCGUGAUAUUAUCACUACGGAAUAUUAUUUUUGAGCUUUUUUGACUAACGAAUGUUGUCAUUGCGUGAUAUUAUCACUACGGAAUAUUAUUUUUGAGAUUCUUUGACUAACGAGUGUUGUCAUUGCGUGAUAUUAUCACUACGGAAUAUUAUUUUUGAGCUUUUUUGACUAACGAAUGUUGUCAUUGCGUGAUAUUAUCACUACGGAAUAUUAUUUUUGAGCUUCUUUGACUAACGAGUGUUGUCAUUGCGUGAUAUUAUCACUACGGAAUAUUAUUUUUGAGAUUCUUUGACUAACGAAUGUUGUCAUUGCGUGAUAUUAUCACUACGGAAUAUUAUUUUUGAGCUUUUUUGACUAACGAGUGUUGUCAUUGCGUGAUAUUAUCACUACGGAAUAUUAUUUUUGAGAUUCUUUGACUAACGAGUGUUGUCAUUGCGUGAUAUUAUCACUACGGAAUAUUAUUUUUGAGCUUUUUUGACUAACGAGUGUUGUCAUUGCGUGAUAUUAUCACUACGGAAUAUUAUUUUUCAGACUUCUUGACUAACGAGUGUUGUCAUUGCGUGAUAUUAUCACUACGGAAUAUUAUUUUUGAGAUUCUUUGACUAACGAAUGUUGUCAUUGCGUGAUAUUAUCACUACGGAAUAUUAUUUUUACAAAAAAUGAUUUUGGACAUUUUUCUCUUAAAGUCGUCAUCAUAUGACCAAAGGUCGCAUGAGUGCGAAAACAAAAAUGUUAAAGUUUUUUUCAAAGAAUUCGUCAUCAUAUGACCAAAGGUCGCAUGAGUGCGAUAAAACAAACUUUUUCAAGAUACAACACGGUAAAUUCUUUUUAAGUUCUAUUUCUAUUAUUUUUGCGAAAUAAUAGCAAACAAAAAUCAAAGGUUCUUCAUUGGAAGUCGUCAUCAUAUGACCAAAGGUCGCAUGAGUGCGAAAAUAUAACUAAAUAUUCAAUCUAAGAAUUCGUCAUCAUAUGACCAAAGGUCGCAUGAGUGCGAUAAAAAAACUUGUUCGAGACACAACACUGUAAAUUCUUUUUAAGUUCUAUUUCUAUUAUUUUUGCGAAACAAUAGUAAACAAAAUUCAAAGAUUCUUCAUUGGAAGUCGUCAUCAUAUGACCAAAGGUCGCAUGAGUGCGAAAAUAUCAAUUGAUUCUUUUAAGAAUUCGUCAUCAUAUGACCAAAGGUCGCAUGAGUGCGAGAAUAACUUAAAGAUACAACACUGUAAUUUCUUUUUAAGUUCUAUUUCUAUUAUUUUUACGAAAUAAUAGUGAACAAAAAUUACAAAAAUUCUCACUAGAAGUCGUCAUCAUAUGACCAAAGGUCGCAUGAGUGCGAGAAACAAAUCAAAAGAUACAAUACUGUAAUUUCUUUUUAAGUUCUAUUUCUAUUAUUUUUGCGAAAUGAUAGUAUACCAAAGAUUAAAGAUCCUUCGCAAGAAGUCGUCAUCAUAUGACCAAAGGUCGCAUGAGUGCGAAAAUAUAACUAAAUAUUCAAUCUAAGAAUUCGUCAUCAUAUGACCAAAGGUCGCAUGAGUGCGAUAAAAAAAACUUGUUCAAGAUACAACACUGUAAAUUCUUUUUAAGUUCUAUUUCUAUUAUUUUUGCGAAAUAAUAGCAAUCAAAAAUCAAAAGUUCUUCAUUGGAAGUCGUCAUCAUAUGACCAAAGGUCGCAUGAGUGCGAAAAUAUAAAUUAUUCGCGUCAUGUGUUGAACUGUUGUCAACUGCGACGAUUUCGUCUGCGCUAAACUAAGUUGUUUGCUAGCUGAAAUGAUUUGUUACAAGAGACUUGUGAGAAUGAAGUCAGGAUAUUACAUUUCUAAGAAUUCGUCAUCAUAUGACCAAAGGUCGCAUGAGUGCGAAAAACGAACAGAAGAUGUAACACUGUAAUUUCUUUUUAAGUUCUAUUUCUAUUAUUUUUAAGAAAUAAUAGCCAACAAAAACUAAAGAUUCUUCAUUGGAAGUCGUCAUCAUAUGACCAAAGGUCGCAUGAGUGCGAAAAACAUACCAUCCAUUAUGAUUUCUCAAUAUUUUCUAUUUCCUAUUCGUUGCGAAAACCGACAGACCAACCCACUGUCAUUUCUUUCAAAUUCUAUUUCAAUUUUUUUGCUUGUCCAAUAACGUGCAAAUUUUCCGCACUGCUGUUUUGUACAUAAUUUUUUUUUCCGGAAUGUGUUAGUUCACUUUAUUUUAUUUUUUUGUUUUUCACUGCACUGUUUGUGUUUUUUUAAUAAAUUCUUCUAAGAAUUCGUCAUCAUAUGACCAAAGGUCGCAUGAGUGCGAAAAACGAACAGAAGAUGUAACACUGUAAUUUCUUUUUAAGUUCUAUUUCUAUUAUUUUUACGAAAUAAUAGCCAACAAAAACUAAAGAUUCUUCAUUGGAAGUCGUCAUCAUAUGACCAAAGGUCGCAUGAGUGCGAAAAACAUACCAUCCAUUAUGAUUUCUCAAUAUUUUCUAUUUCCUAUUCGUUGCGAAAACCGAUAAAUCAACCUACUGUAAUUUCUUUCAAAUUCUAUUUCAAUUUUUUUGCGUCUUGUUAUUAUGGUCCCUACGACUUGCAACCCACUUUUAAAUCUACGAUUCGGGUUGAGCUCUGUAAUAGACGAACAAAAGCAAACCCACUGUAAUUUCACAAUAUUACAAUAUGCAUUACAAAUUUAAGAAAAGACCAAUCAACCUUCUGUAAUUUCACAAUAUUACAAUAUGCAUUACAAAUUUAAGACUUUAUGAAAACCAACCGACUGUAGUUUCACAAUAUUACAAUAUGCAUUACAAUUUACGUUGUAGCCUUGAUCACUUUCAAGGGUCUUAGAUUUUCGAACCAUAGGCUGUCAUCCGAAGUAGAUCGGUGUCCUCAAGCCUCAACUCACUGUGAUUUCACAAUAUUACAAUAUGCAUUACAAAUUUAUGUUAAUUAUGUCAUUUAUGUUGUCUGAUUCUAAUGAAUGGGAACAAAUGUCACACUAGAUCCGUGAUAUUAUCACUACGGAAUAUUAUUUUUGCGAAAUUUUGACUAACGAACGUUGUCAUUGCGUGAUAUUAUCACUACGGAAUAUUAUUUUUACGUUGUCUCUAAGUCUACAAAACCACACCACGAACCACUGUAGUUUCUUUCAAAUUCUAUUUCAAUUUUUUGCGAACAAAAAAAAACCCAUGAAAAAUUGUAAACUAGGUUAAGUCAAAAAUGUUAGCAAAUAAACUAAAAAUCAUACCAAACCUGAA